GGAAGUAAAAGUCGUAACAAGGUCUCCGUUGGUGAACCAGCGGAGGGAUAAUUACUGGAAUCGCAAGAUCNNACAACCCUNGUGAACCUACCGAAACGUUGCCUCGGCGGGCGCCCGGCCCUGCGCCAGGGCGUCGAGCCCGCCGGCGGCCCACUACUCUGUCUCUGCAGCGUGGCAUCACCGAGAAUACAAAAACAAGUAAAAACUUUCAACAACGGAUCUCUUGGUUCUGGCAUCGAUGAAGAACGCAGCGAAAUGCGAUAAGUAAUGCGAAUUGCAGAAUUCAGUGAAUCAUCGAGUUUUUGAACGCACAUUGCGCCCGCCUGCAUCCUGGCGGGCAUGCCUGUUCGAGCGUCAUUUCCACCCUCAGGCCCUGCCUGGUGUUGGGGGCCUGCACCCGCAGCCCCUGAAAGAUACCGGCGGUCCCGACCCAGGCCCCGAGCGUAGUACUACACGCCGCUCCGGGCGCCUGGCGGGCCCCAGCCGCAAGCCUCUCUAUACUAGGUUGACCUCGGAUCAGGUAGGAAUACCCGCUGAACUUAAGCAUAUCAAUAAGCGGAGGA
rnacentral:rRNA from 1 species